AGAACGAACGCUGGCGGCAGGCUUAACACAUGCAAGUCGAACGCACCUUUCGGGGUGAGUGGCAGACGGGUGAGUAACACGUGGGAACGUACCCUUUGGUUCGGAAUAACCCUGGGAAACUAGGGCUAAGACCGGAUACGGCCGUGAGGCGAAAGGUUUACCGCCGAAGGAUCGGCCCGCGUCCGAUUAGCUAGUUGGUGGGGUAAUGGCUCACCAAGGCUUCGAUCGGUAGCUGGUCUGAGAGGAUGACCAGCCACAUUGGGACUGAGACACGGCCCAAACUCCUACGGGAGGCAGCAGUGGGGAAUAUUGGACAAUGGGCGCAAGCCUGAUCCAGCCAUGCCGCGUGAGUGAUGAAGGCCUUAGGGUUGUAAAGCUCUUUUACCUGGGAAGAUCAUGACGGUACCAGGAGAAUAAAGCCCGGCUAACUUCGCGCCAGCAGCCGC
rnacentral:rRNA from 1 species